rnacentral:rRNA from 1 species
CCAGUACCGUGAGGGAAAGGCGAAAAGAACCCCGGCGAGGGGAGUGAAAAAGAACCUGAAACCGUGUACGUACAAGCAGUGGGAGCCUCUUAAUGGGGUGACUGCGUACCUUUUGUAUAAUGGGUCAGCGACUUAUAUUCUGUAGCAAGGUUAACCGAAUAGGGGAGCCGAAGGGAAACCGAGUCUUAACUGGGCGUUAAGUUGCAGGGUAUAGACCCGAAACCCGGUGAUCUAGCCAUGGGCAGGUUGAAGGUUGGGUAACACUAACUGGAGGACCGAACCGACUAAUGUUGAAAAAUUAGCGGAUGACUUGUGGCUGGGGGUGAAAGGCCAAUCAAACCGGGAGAUAGCUGGUUCUCCCCGAAAGCUAUUUAGGUAGCGCCUCGUGAAUUCAUCUCCGGGGGUAGAGCACUGUUUCGGCAAGGGGGUCAUCCCGACUUACCAACCCGAUGCAAACUGCGAAUACCGGAGAAUGUUAUCACGGGAGACACACGGCGGGUGCUAACGUCCGUCGUGAAGAGGGAAACAACCCAGACCGCCAGCUAAGGUCCCAAAGUCAUGGUUAAGUGGGAAACGAUGUGGGAAGGCCCAGACAGCCAGGAUGUUGGCUUAGAAGCAGCCAUCAUUUAAAGAAAGCGUAAUAGCUCACUGGUCGAGUCGGCCUGCGCGGAAGAUGUAACGGGGCUAAACCAUGCACCGAAGCUGCGGCAGCGACACUAUGUGUUGUUGGGUAGGGGAGCG